UACGUAGGGGGCAAGCGUUGUCCGGAAUUAUUGGGCGUAAAGAGCUCGUAGGCGGCUUGUCACGUCGGGUGUGAAAGACCGGGGCUUAACCCCGGUUCUGCAUUCGAUACGGGCUAGCUAGAGUGUGGUAGGGGAGAUCGGAAUUCCUGGUGUAGCGGUGAAAUGCGCAGAUAUCAGGAGGAACACCGGUGGCGAAGGCGGAUCUCUGGGCCAUUACUGACGCUGAGGAGCGAAAGCGUGGGGAGCGAACAGG
rnacentral:rRNA from 1 species